rnacentral:tRNA from 1 species
UGGGUUGCUAACUCAAUGGUAGAGUAAUCGGCUUUUAACCGAAAAGUUCUGGGUUCAAGUCCCAGGUAACCCAAUUU